CAUGAGACCGUAGGGUGUCUCAUUUUUCAUUUUAGGUAUCAGAAGGGUGCUCACGCAUACUUUGUGGUUGAUAUGUGCCCUCCAUGCGCACUUUUGCAGAGCCCACGCUGAUGCGAGCUCUACAGCACACGUCUUCUCGACGGUCAAAGCGAGGUUACGUUAUUGCCCAUCGUGCACAGCGACCCUAAAGGCACGGGGGUAGCGGUGCCAGCAGCGACCCUAAAGGCACGGGGGUGGCGGUGCCACCGGCUUGGGCCCGCCAUCGCUGCUUGCAGCUAUAUUUUGUUUUUGUUGCUGUAGCAGUUGCAUAACACCAAGUGUUGUACAUCUGGAAGACAGUUACAUUUUACAAAAAGGAGUCAUAUGAAAUAAAAUGUUAAUAGUAAUGUAUUUCAUGCAUUCUUUGUUUUGUAUCCGUUUGCUUUACUGUCUCAGAUGAUUCCUUAUUUGGAAAUUACAUGUUUGAAUCCUCUGCAACAGAAUACAAACCACAAUUUGGGAUCCUGUCAUGUCAAAUUCCUAUGCUAUGUGGAGGUCCUCUGGAUAAAGACAACACACACAUAUAUUCAACUUUAUGAAGGCACUUUAUUUAGACCGGGAUACACAAUUUCUGUAUCAAACAGGCUUCUUAAAGGUUCCAAUAUAUUUAUCACUUGAUAUGAUCCACAUAUUAAUUUGCUACAGGUGUGUCAUGCUUUGUAGUAACUUGUAAAAAAAUGGCCAACUUAACCCCCUAUUGUCUGACCUAAAUUUAGACAAUGUAUAGGAUCUUCACAUGUAAGAGUGCCCACUGACAUUUUUUUGCAUUCCCCCACACAUAUUAACUUUGUGUGGGGGAACAAAGUUGACUUUUACAUUAACUGUCAGGGAUACAGUAGGACAUUUAAUGAUAACAGUGUAUUUGUAUGAUAUGACAUUUUGAAAAGGAACCACGAUGCACAAAAUUGCUAUAUACACUUAAAUUUUUUACAUUAAUUAAUUAAGGGAUACACUUUAAUGAUUGCAGGAUCCGUACGUUAAUGCGUGCACGCAGCACAGUCUGCGCAUGCACAUUGUCUUGUGACGUUAGAGACAUAAUUAGAUUAAAAAAAUAAAAAAUAAAAUGCUUAAAGAAUCCUAAAAAAAUUUAUGUAAGUGCAAAGGAAAACAAAAUAUCAAAAUUUCUGUUCAUUAAAAAAGCAGACUGAUUACGUCAUUUAAAAAAAAAAAAAAAACCUAAAUAACCGUUGCCUGAGGCGCGAAUUCCGACCGUGACCACACGCUGGAAGACACAAGCCGAUUAUGUUCGUGUUAAUUAAAUGGGUGGAGGAUGAAAAGUUCUCAAUUCUGCCCACUGAACAUAUUAGAAAAUUUUAUGAGGAUGAAUACACAGCGGGUAUGGAGGAAAAUUACGUUUACUUGGUGGAGUGGAGCCGAAAGGGGGGUUGUUGGCCGGCCUAUGAGGGCUCCAUCAUCAAGAUAGCAGGUACCUAUUUUUAUUAUGCUAUUUCCAAUAUAAUACUCUUAUAUUAUCCUCUAUUAUUCUGUAUACCGCUUGUAGAUUUAUAAAAAGACGUCAGUAAACUAUUCAUUUUGUUAUUUAUUUUUUUAGUUAACGUUAGUUAAUAGUAUGUAGUUGUGAGGUACUACAACAAUUAGCCUUUUAGCAUUAUUCUACCUCCUCAGAAAGGGAAAGAACUUUACAAAUGAAACUUAAGGAAAUUGAAGAACAGCUACCCAAGUCAGACACUGAAGAGAAAGAGUAAACCUUCAAUGAAUCUCAUAGAGGCCGCAGAGAUGAGAGAGGAACCAGCAGCUAAGAAAAAGGUUAGUGUUGGGAUCACUGUAGGGAUGGUAUUGGCCAGGUGAUGAGCGGUGCCUGUUUCCUCCAGACAUGACCCUUGCCAUUCAGGUCAAAGAGUUCAAUCUUUGUUUCAUCAGACCAGAAAAUUUUGUUUCUCAUGGUCUGAGAGUCCUUCAGGUGCCUUUUGGCAAACAGAGAUGGUUGUUCUUCUGGAAGGUUCUCCUCUCUCAACAGAGAAACACUGCAGCUCUGUCAGAGUGACCAUCGGGUUCUUGGUCACCUCUCUAAGUCCCUUCUCCCUUGAACACUCAGUUUGGCAGGGCGGCCAUCUCUAGGAAGAGUCCUGGUGGUUCCAAACUUCUUCCAUUUAUGGAUGAUGGAGGCCACUGUGCUCAUUGGGACCUUCAAUGCUGCAGACAUUUUUCUGUACCCUUCCCCAGAUCUGUGCCUCGAUACAAUCCUGUCUCAGAGGUCCACAGACAAUUCCUUGAACUUCAUGGCUCGGUUUGUGCUCUGACAGGCACUGUUAACUGUGGGACCUUAUAUAGACAGGUGUGUGCCUUUCCAAAUCAUGUCCAAUCAACUGAAUUUACCACAGGUGGACUCCAAUCAAGUUGUAGAAACAUCUCAAGGAUGAUCAGUGGACACAGGAUGCACCUGAGCUCAAUUUUUACUAUUUUUAGUAAAUUUGCAAAGAUUUCAAACAACCUUCUUUCAUGUUGUCAUUAUGGAGUAUUGUUUACAGAAUUUUGAGGAAAAUAAUGAAUUUAAUCCAUUUUGUAAUAAGGUUGUAACAUAACAUAAAAUGUGGAAAAGUGAAGCGCUGUGAAUACUUUCCAGAUGCACUGUAGACAUACAGUUCUAGGUAGAACCAGGAAGUUAUUUAAUUAAUCAUGAUCAUGAAAUUGAUUGCUGAUGUCACGAUUUAUAGUAGAGGUAUAUUUUGGAGGAAUGUUUUGGUCUGUUCUCACCCAAAAUCAUGAAGGCAUUUGCUUCAGAACACAUUUAUUAAACUACUGGAGUCUUAUGGUUACAAUUAAGCUUUUUCUGUCUUUUUCAGAACAUGAAACUCAUAUUCACUUGCAUUUUAUGGGUGUAUUCACAUCAUACAUCCAUCAAAAUAUAAGUCACAUGACUUACAAGCAGUAAUGUUUAGAUAGUUGGGCAAAGUUCUGAUAUACUGAUUAGAGAUGCACCGAUCGACUGGCCAGGGACCGGAAUUAGCCAAUUUUCCAGCCUCACGUCUUUCCGAUUCCAAGCCGGACCGUUUUGUUGCCAGCGGCGCAGGCAAUAACAUCACAGCCGCACGUAAACAUGUAAUUGCCGUGGAAGAUCUUCACUGUGAGUGAAGAAUACAUAAAGUUCGAAAUGUGUAAUAAUUGUAAGGCCAAAGUAGACAUUUAUAACACCAUCACCCAGCUGAAAAUGCCCAUUUUAAAAAAAGAAGCUAAAAAGUGAAAGCGGCUAAAGCUAGCCAGAGCUCAGAGCCAGCCACAAGUCAGCAGCCUCUCCUAUCAUUCCUUGGAAUGAGCAGCGAAAAGACCAAAGCAAUUACAAGGAAAAUUAUGGAAUUCAUGGCCCUGGAUGACCAGCUGUUCUCCAUAGUUGAGGACAGAGGGAUCAGAAAUCGGAUAAAUUUCCUCGAUACAGAAGAGGUACUUUCCGACGUCACGUUGCCCGAGUUGUUUAAUCUCGUGUAAUGUCACACACGCAGUCUGUUAUCUGUCAACAUUUGGGUACACAAAUCCGGGAGAGAGGAAGGGGGGUGCUGGAUGGCAGAGGCAGGAUAAAUACAUACAAAUUGUGCCGUUGUGAUUUAAUGUGCCGAGUAACGUAAUUUUUCCUCACCGUGUCCGAUAUUAAAAUCAGUGCGACACACAUUGCAAAAGGCGUGGGUAUUGUCGAUAUGGCUUCGGGAUAUGAAAUUCAAUUCUUCCAUCUGAGCUGUUGUUAAAUGUACAUGUAUAUUUUGUUUUUUUCACCGGUGCACCAGCUGAGUCUUCUCCUCCCAUCUAUCAGUGAUGCUUGAUUUAACAUACCGCGUCUACUGCCUGCACAGAUAUCAACAGCGCAAAUGGGUUUUGGUUGCCAGGUUGAGGUCACAAAUGAUUUGUAAUGUGUAUGAUGUGUCGAUUGUGUGAGUAGGAUGCGUUUCAUUCAAGAUCUGGUAACUGGACCACCUUGGAAUAAUAUAUUGAUGCGAUUAUUCAUAUAACGUGGUUUAGGCCAUACAAAUUACUGAAGUGUUUUUUGGGAAAAAUAACAAAAUGGGAGACUCCCGAGAAAAACGGUAUUUACAACUGAUAUUUGGACAUCUAACGUAAGUUGAGCGUAUUGGACACUUCAGUUUUUCAGAUCUUUGGAAUUGUUUUGUUAGACGAGUAAUAAAGAGAAAAAGGUCCAUUUAUAAAAAUAGUGGAAAAUGACAUCUGUUAUAUAAAGCAACUCAUUUGCAGUUAAUUGUUAUUUCUACCUCUUUCCAGUCACAGAGCACUUUAUUUUGACAGUUGUUUAAGUGAGAGAAGAUCCUGUAACUUAGUGCAGUUUGGGGGAAAUUGUAAUGUAUAAUAAUUUAUUUUAUUUUGUAAAUAAAAUGUUGCAUUGAAGAAAGGUAGAUUUUGUUUGUAUAUGUGGUCAUUAAUAGUUCUUUGAAAGAAAAUCGGAAAAAAUCGGUAUCGGCAGGUCACACUUGCAAAAAAAUCGGAAUCGGCCAAGAAAAUUGCAAUCGGUGCAUCUCUAAUUCUGACACUUCUACAAAGAUUUUAUGAUGCUCAGUGUUAUGUGUAUUGUUUUUAAUCUAUCAAUAUUCUGCUUCACAGGUGCCAAAGGCUCCAUCCAAGGCUUCUCUGUCUGGUUCUCCCAAAGUUAGGCCUGGGCGAAAAAUCGAUUCAAUGAAUUAAUUCGAAUUUUUUGUUGCGGGCGAUUUAAAAAAUAAGUAAAUCGAGUUUUUGUGUAAUCGCGCAUUUUUGGCUCCCCGGAGCAUCCGUAGCGUUAGUUUCACAUAGCAGUAUGGCAAGCGACAACAACAACAUCAUAGCACACACGAAACGGCAACAGCAUACAGCAAGCGACAACAUGGCUACCGGUGAGAGUGGGAAGUUUGUUCCCAAGAAACUUCAUCCCAGAAAUGGGGGUUACAUUUGUCUUGCUUUUGAUUAAAUAAAAGCAAAAUUUGCUUUAAGUUGUCUGCCGUUUGUCGUAUUGAUUUCCUUAAUAAGUAGAUGGGAAAAUCGGGAAAAAAUCGUAAAUCGAAUUAAAAAAAAUAAAAUCGGAGAUUUUAUUUUUAGGCCAUAUCGCCCAGCCCUACCCAAAGUAAGUAUUUUGUUUUCACCUUGCAAAAAUACAUUGUGCAGUUACAUUGGUGUCAAUGCUUUGUUAAUUCUUAAUAAAGUGUGUAAAUGUUUGUAGGUAAGCUCUUCCUGUCUGUAAACUGUCUGUCUGUAAUAACAUUUAAUUUUAUAAUUUGUUUGUCAUUUUUACUUUUAUUAGUGUUGCAGUGAUGCUAAUUAUGUAAGUACUUUUUGCUGAGGAUUUAGGUCUGUACAUACAGAUUUGUUAUGCAUUUCUGGGUGAAAUGGCUGAAUAAAAACUUAAAUGAGUUUUAAAUAAUUUAUUUGAAAAUAAUGUAUAUUGUAAAUAUCUUUUUAUGUGAUCACAACCACAGGUGGAGUUAGCACAUGGCACAGGUAUAAAAAGCAUCAAUGGACUUCUACCCUGCAGACCCAAACAGUCACUUCAAUGGCCUCCUUCCCACUGGAGAUUCUGAUCCACAGCAAUUUGAAAGGAGGAAUGAGUAAAACUGACUGUGGUGCAGAGAGAAGGAAUGCCCUUGACAAGGACACCAUGGCAGCACUAUGUGUGGCAGUGAAGAAGUUUCCCAAUGUGUUCAGAGGAGCUUUGGGGUUUGCAGUGAAUUCUAAGAUGGGGGAAUUGAGACGGCUUGAGAAAAAAAAAAAGAAGUUAAUUUCAUAUAAUUGUAAUUGUAAAGUUGCUUGAUUUUUAUUCAAAUGUGUUACAUACAUGUUCAUG